rnacentral:snRNA from 1 species
CAGUGUUACAGCUCUUUUAGAAUUUGUACAGCUGGUUUUCUGGUUUCUACCAGAAAACUCCC